UAAGAAAGCAGUGACCAUGACAAAAAAGGUCGCUAUUCCAGGCAUUCUGGUUCCUGACAUAAUAGCAUUUACCCUGACAGCACAGCUAGUGGCUGUGGCUUCCAAUACGUGCAACGUAAUUUUGAUCUAUUCUGUCGCUCCAUCUUCUAUGCCAAAUAUUCAGCAAAUUCAGUUAGAGAGUAACGAAAGACCAAAAGGUGUAUGUUUCUUGACAGACAGAUUAUUAUUAAUUACUGUAGGGAAACAGAAGCCCACAGAAACAGCCUUUCUCCCUUCUUCAGAAUCUGAUCAGUAUACUGUUUAUCUGACAGUUAGAGAAAUAACUCUGGGAAGAGAAUCUUCUGGAACAUCUGCUGAAAGUCAGGGUGCUUAUGCUGAUAUCAAUGCUCUAUUAAAUAAAGCAGAUAGAGAAGAAAAGUUCACCGAGAGCCUUUCCCCAUGCGUGAGUCCCCUGAGCCAAGGACUCUUGCUAACAGCUAACUCCAGUACUCAGAGUGGGAGGUCUGGAAAAGCCCUUAUUCAAGAAAUUAAAAGUCCCUUGUCCCCUCUGUCCAGUGAUUCCAUUGUCCAUGAAGUCUGUCACAGGCCCUCC
rnacentral:lncRNA from 1 species